rnacentral:misc_RNA from 1 species
CGGUUUGUCACCGGCAGUCUCCCUAGAGUCCCCGGCAUUACCCGCUGGCAACUAAAAGCAGGGGUUGCGCUCGUUGCGGCACUUAACCCAACAUCUCACGGCACGAGCUGACGACAGCCAUGCAGCACCUGUGAAGGCUCCCGCCUUGCGGCGGGUCGGUCACCUUUCGGUUUCCUACCACCAACAUGUCAAGCCCUGGUAAGGUUCUUCGCUUAGCAUCGAAUUAAACCACACGCUCCACCGCUUGUGCGGGCCCCCGUCAAUUCCUUUGAGUUUUAGCCUUGCGGCCGUAGUCCCCAGGCGGGAUGCUUAACGCGUUAGCUUCGGCACUGGGGGGGUCGACACCCCCAACACCUAGUGCCCAUCGUUUACGGCGUGGACUAC